UACGGGGGGGGCAAGCGUUGUUCGGAAUUACUGGGCGUAAAGGGCUCGUAGGUGGCCAACUAAGUCAGACGUGAAAUCCCUCGGCUUAACCGGGGAACUGCAUCUGAUACUGGAUGGCUUGAGAUUGGGAGAGGGAUGCGGAAUUCCAGGUGUAGCGGUGAAAUGCGUAGAUAUCUGGAGGAACACCGGUGGCGAAGGCGGCAUCCUGGACCAACACUGACGCUGAGGGACGAAAGCUAGGGGAGCGAACGGG
rnacentral:rRNA from 1 species